GACAGAGGAUGCAAGCGUUAUCCGGAAUGAUUGGGCGUAAAGCGUCUGUAGGUGGCUUUUUAAGUCCGCCGUCAAAUCCCAGGGCUCAACCCUGGACAGGCGGUGGAAACUACCAAGCUGGAGUACGGUAGGGGCAGAGGGAAUUUCCGGUGGAGCGGUGAAAUGCGUAGAGAUCGGAAGGAACGCCCGUGGCGAAAGCGAGGUCCUGGACCCUUUCUGACGCUGAGACGCGAAAGCCAGGGGAGCGAACGGG
rnacentral:rRNA from 1 species